GAGUCCGGCCAUGGUAGCCCUCUCCAACAAGCUGAAGCUGAAGCGACAGCUGGAGUAUGAAGAGCAAGCCUUCCAGGACCUCAGCGGGGGGGACCCACCUGGUGGCAGCACCUCACAUUUGAUGUGGAAACGGAUGAAGAACCUCAGGGGUGGGAGCUGCCCUUUGAUGCCGGACAAGCCACUGAGCGCAAAUGUCCCCAAUGAUAAGUUCACCCAAAACCCCAUGAGGGGCCUGGGCCAUCCCCUGAGACAUCUGCCGCUGCCACAGCCUCCAUCUGCCAUCAGUCCCGGGGAGAACAGCAAGAGCAGGUUCCCCCCACAGUGCUACACCACCCAGUACCAGGACUACAGCCUGUCGUCAGCCCACAAGGUGUCAGGCCUUUAAGUUAUGGUACCAACCCUUCUUUCAGGCAUGGCAAGCCGGCUGCUCGGGCCCUCAUUUGAGUCCUACC
rnacentral:sRNA from 1 species